GACGAAGGGGGGCUAGCGUUGUUCGGAAUUACUGGGCGUAAAGCGCGUGUAGGCGGUUGUUCAAGUCGGGUGUGAAAGCCUUGAGCUCAACUCAAGAAAUGCACUCGAUACUGGAUGACUUGAGGACCGGAGAGGAUAGUGGAAUUCCCAGUGUAGUGGUGAAAUACGUAGAGAUUGGGAAGAACACCAGUGGCGAAGGCGGCUAUCUGGACGGUUUCUGACGCUAAGACGCGAAAGCGUGGGGAGCAAACAGG
rnacentral:rRNA from 1 species